rnacentral:tRNA from 1 species
GCGACGGUAGCUCAGUUGGUUAGAGCACCUGGUUGUGGUCCAGGGGGUCGGGGGUUCGAAUCCCCUCCGUCGCC